rnacentral:rRNA from 1 species
AUACGGAGGGGGCUAGCGUUGUUCGGAUUUACUGGGCGUAAAGCGCACGUAGGCGGUAUAUCAAGUUAGGCGUGAAAGCCCCGGGCUCAACCCGGGAACUGCGCUUAUUACUGAUAAACUAGAGUCCGGGAGAGGGUAGCGGAAUUCCCAGUGUAGAGGUGAAAUUCGUAGAUAUUGGGAAGAACACCAGUUGCGAAGGCGGCUACCUGGACCGGUACUGACGCUGAGGUGCGAAAGCGUGGGGAGCAAACAGGAUUAGAUACCCCAGUAGUCC